CAACAGUUUUGUGUGUGUGUGUGUGUGUGAGCAUGUGUGAGCACACAUAUGCCAAAGGCAACAUUCUAAUGGGCCUGGAAGACCCCAUGAAUGUUGAAAACACUCACAGUGCUGAGCCGGCAGGUGCACUUCUAGGAGACCGUCCUGGGAUUCCCCACAGCACUGUGAGCGUUAGCCGGGGCUGGAACCGGUGGGAAAGUGCACACGCAGCAUGCCAUGUGGCCAUCCGAAAGAUGCACCGGGUUGUCUGGGUGAUGAGGGAUGGUGUCCAAACGUGCACCGAGUGAGACAUCUGAAGGGAAGCCAACUCAUGAGCAAGCCUGGUGCAUUUGCCUCUGAAACUCACACCCCCAGAGUGUGUCCGCCUUCCCUGGCCGCAGCCACCCGCUGGUCUCAUCCAAGUCAGCACCAUGUCCCGCCUGGACUUUCGUGACGGCUCUUGACUGGCCUCCCUGCUGCUCCCUUUACCCACCAACACCACCACCGGCUUAUGUCUCGCCUGUGUGUCCCAUUGCACCCUCUGCUCAGCUCACAAGGCCCCACAGAUCUGCACCCACCUCUCUGAUCUCCUACCUCACCCCCGGGCCUCAGUGGAUACCUGGACCGCACUGACCUUGUUCCGGUGCCCUGGACGUGCCGCUCACUCCACCCUGGAGCUCUGCUGUGAUCCACGCCGACAUGGACAGUCACAUCAGGCUGCAAAAUCAGCUCCACAGUGGGCCCUCCUUGACCCCCGCAGCUGCUCCCUCACCUCUGUCCUAGCCCCCUUCAUUUGGCUUCCGCAGCACCAUUUUUCCCUGGCAUUUUCCUGGCUUCCCUAUUUGUUCAUUAUUUCUCUCUCCCCACUGAAAGUGAGCGCUGCUGAGGGCCAGGAUCCCUGCUGCCUUGUGCCCCGACAGGCACUUCAGGGCGGCUCAAUUAAUACCUACUGGAUUGCCUAAAGGCAGAUUGAAAACAACCAUCGUAACAACAUCAUAUCCCAUUUAUCGGGCACUUUGGAAGCGCCAAUCUUUACAUGCCUUAUCACGUUUAAUCUCUGCAACACAGACUACACGCACGCCGUUACUCAUCUCUGUUUGACAGAGGAGGAAAUCAAGGUUUAUGGUGCUGUGUGACUUGGCAAAAGUCCCCAGCCGGCAGCAGGCCGGCAGAUGUGGGAAGGCCUGCGGAGGGCGGUCUCAGGGCAGGAGUUGGACUGUGCCAAACGAAGAUCUGCCUUGUCCUUCUGGGGGAGGCAACGUUGCAGUGUUGCAGCGAGGCCCAAACCUCUGCCAUCCAGCGGCAGAACUGGCCGGGGAGGCAGGGACCGGGUGGAGAGGGCAUGGGCUGGGAAUCUGGACUCUGCGGGUGAGUCCCUGUGGAAGUCUGACUUGCUGUGUUACCUCUGGCGAGUUUCACACCCCAGGUUCCUCUGCAGAAAGCUGGGGACAUGUGCUUUGGAUGGCAAAGGCCUCUUCCAGCAACUUUUGUUUGUGUGUGUGGGAGGGAAGGAAUCCGAGCCCCGCAGAUGACAAAAUAGGAGGGCUCUGGGUGGAAACAAGACACAGGGGUCACCUGGUGUUUAGGAACUGCUUUUACAGCAUCCCAGAGAGGCAUACCUCCAACGACAGGGGGCUUACUAUCUUACAACUUAUUUGUCAGUCAGUCAUGGCCAUUUAAAGACAUUUAUGGAGACCUACGUAUUCUUUUUUUUUGGAGGCCAUACCCUACGGCAUAACAAAUAUAUUGUGAUAUAUGCACAUUCCAUAGAAGAUAUAAUUUGCAUAUAACUACUUUUGGGUUUUUUGGUGAAGGAGAUUGUCCCUGAGCUAAUAUCUCUUGCCAAUCGUCCUCUCUUUGCUUGAGGAAGAUUGUCACUGAGCUAACAUCUGUGCCAAUCUUCCUCUUUCUUAUGUGGGCUGCUGUAAGAGACGGGCUUGACAAGCGGUGCUAGGUCCGCGCCCGGGAUCCAAACCUGUGAACCCUGGGCCACUGAAGUAGAGCGUGCAAACUUAACCGCUGCGCCACCAGGCCAGCCCCACAUAUAGCUACUUAAUAUAAACUGCCACGGUCUAGCUGCCACAGUAUUACAUUUGCAGAUGUCUGAUUAAACAUUUA
ensembl:lncRNA